rnacentral:rRNA from 1 species
AUACGGAGGAUCCGAGCGUUAUCCGGAUUUAUUGGGUUUAAAGGGUGCGCAGGCGGGAGGUUAAGUCGGCGGUGAAAUUUUGCAGCUCAACUGUAAAAGUGCCUUCGAAACUGGUUUCCUUGAGUGUAGAUGAAGUAGGCGGAAUUUGUGGUGUAGCGGUGAAAUGCAUAGAUAUCACGAGGAACUCCGAUUGCGCAGGUAGCUUACUAAACUACUACUGACGCUCAGGCACGAAGGCGUGGGGAUCAAACAGGAUUAGAUACCCUGGUAGUCCACGCAGUAAACGAUGAUUACUAGCUGUUUGCGAUACAAUGUAAGCGGCUGAGCGAAAGCGUUAAGUAAUCCACCUGGGGAGUACGUUCGCAAGAAUGAAACUCAAAUGAAUUGACGGGG